GCAACUCGCCUGCAUGAAGUUGGAAUUGCUAGUAAUCGCGAAUCAGAAUGUCGCGGUGAAUACGUUCCCGGGCCUUGUACACACCGCCCGUCACACCAUGAGAGUCGAUAACACCCGAAGCCUGUGAGCUAACCUUUUAGGAGGCAGCAGUCGAAGGUGGGGUUGAUGAUUGGGGUGAAGUCGUAACAAGGUACC
rnacentral:rRNA from 1 species